rnacentral:tRNA from 1 species
GAAGGUAUAGCUCAGUGGUAGAGCGCAUGCUUUGCAUGCAUGAGGUCCUGGGUUCAAUCCCCAGUACCUCCA